rnacentral:rRNA from 1 species
UAGGGAAUCUUCGGCAAUGGACGAAAGUCUGACCGAGCAACGCCGCGUGAGUGAAGAAGGUUUUCGGAUCGUAAAACUCUGUUGUUAGAGAAGAACAAGGACGUUAGUAACUGAACGUCCCCUGACGGUAUCUAACCAGAAAGCCACGGCUAACUACGUGCCAGCAGCCGCGGUAAUACGUAGGUGGCAAGCGUUGUCCGGAUUUAUUGGGCGUAAAGCGAGCGCAGGCGGUUUCUUAAGUCUGAUGUGAAAGCCCCCGGCUCAACCGGGGAGGGUCAUUGGAAACUGGGAGACUUGAGUGCAGAAGAGGAGAGUGGAAUUCCAUGUGUAGCGGUGAAAUGCGUAGGUAUAUGGUGGAACACCAGUGGCGAAGGUGGCUCUCUGGUCUGUAACUGACGCUGAGGCUCGAAAGCGUGGGGAGCAAACAGG